GCUCUGAGUAAGUUUGAGGGCGCGCGUCGACGCAGUUCACUCACAAGUUGGCUGACAUGUAGAAGACAAACGAGGAGACAAACCACAACAUGGAUUUAUUGCUGUCUUUUGAUUCGUAUGGCGGAGUUUGUGAACUUCUUUUGCACGGUGCUUCAGCUGGAAAUGCUGUUGGGCAGGAUGCUAACUGAAUUUGUGUAAUUUAAAGGAGGUAAUAAAAACCCUGCUGUCAUGCUGAAGAAGUCUCAGUUCACACAAUCUCAUCUGAUUCUUGAAUCAUAACGAACCGACUCAGCAGCUCACCGAAGGAGCCAGCAGUGUGUCUGCACCAGUUCCCUGAAUAUCAGACAUCCACAUGCAGCCGGGGAUUUCGUUCUUUUUUUUUUUUUUUCUCAUUACCCUCUUCAUUCCUCAGCAGUCAUGAAAAGAGAAGUCCAACUGCACCAUAAACAGCCAGAGCUAAUCACCACAGCUGCUUUCUCUCAUCACUCCGGAUUAAGCUGCGUCAUGGAAACAGUGGCUCAAAUGACAAGUCAUGCAAAGUCAUUAAGUCCAUCCAUAUCAUGGUGAACUGGGGACUUGGAGCACGGCUACCUGAGCUUUAACCCGAGCUACAACUUCACGUAUCGGCAAAACACAGCAAAGAACUUCAAACAAAAAAAAUACAACCAGGAAUCAAUCAGACCUUUACUAGAAUAAACAUGCCGUAGUGUGUGUGUGUGUGUGUGUGUGUGUGCGUGUGUGUGAGGAAGUUCACAUGUAUUCUGAUGUCUAACUGAACCUUCAGAUAUUCUUCCAUGUUCAUGCUGCAGUUUAAUGUCAUGCUUACAAAGCUCUUGUGUGGACCUUUUGCUCGUCUAACUAACACUAGCUCAGCUGUCACAGCCGAUCAGACCUUAAUCAUCACUCUCAUAACUCUCACAUUAACUCUCACUGCUCUUCACCUCUAUACCUGAAACCAUGCAAUCUUCAUCAGCUGCAGCUUUUUCUCACUGUUUCACUUCUUUUGUUUUUGUUCAAGCAGUUCAACACCAGGACUGCAGUACGUUCACACGAUCCACACACUGAUUGACUCUUCAGAACCCACCCAGUGUUAGUUAGUUAUCUGGUGGUAAAGGGCAAAUCAAAUCCACCGAGGACUGGUGUGUAGGAUGGAUGGUGUAAGAGCACUGCAGAGACCUGGUUCUUUGGCCUCGUGUCCCCACUGUGGAGCGUGUGGUCCUCGGGCAGCUGGGUUGUUAUUUCUGUAGGAGAACCGGAUGCUCCUGCAGGUCCUGAGGAAACGCAGUGUGCCAUGUGGUCUACGCUGUGGAGCGAUGUUUACAGACACGGCAUGUCCUGAUCAAUAUCUUUCAACAAGUGAGAUACCCUGCAUGCUCUGCAAGGUCUUUGUAGAAACCAAGAGGAUGAGAGAGAAGUUCUACAGAAACAGGAGCUGAUGAGACACAGCCUGUCAGUUUGGAUCAAGGUGCAGAAUAACAUCUGUCACUGCAUCAUAGUCACGAUGGCAAAGACCAUGCUGCUCACCUCCAACAUUCGGACCCUUCUGCGUCUCCAAAACCAUGUUUAUGGUAAUAGGCACUUCAGCUUGCCCACACAUCUGUCAUGUCGGCGCAGACGAGACGAUCAGACAUCACGGAGCCAGAUCAACAGAGGACCUCUCUUGUUCCACUCACACUGAAGCAGUAGUAAAGAAAGCUCACCCAUGCAUCAUCAUCCUCAUAUGACCAAGAAAGCUUGGUAUGAUCCCCAAUAUCUUCACAUCAUUCUACACCUGCACCACGGAAAGCAUCUUGACUGGCUGCAUCACCAACUGGUAUAAUAACAACUCCGUUCACAACCCUUCAACAACACUCCAGCACAUGGUGGAAGAAGUCGGAGACUCACCACGGACUGCUCUCACUGCUCCCAUCAGGCAGACAGUAUCAAGCACAGUAUCAGAUCUCUCACCAACAGGCUGCAGGACAAUCAGACUGGUGAUGGUGCAGGGUAUGGAAGAUACAGUGGGUUGUACAUGUGGUAUAUUAGUUUUUUAUAUAUAUAUAUAUAUAUAUAUAUAUAUAUAUAUAUAUAUAUAUAUAUAUAUAUAUAUAUAGCUUUUCUAUUCACUUUUCACUUUCUCACUUACUAGAUACUGAACUGAUAUCAGUUUUUGUCAUGUUCAUAUCGCUUAAAGAAUAUCGCACAUAAUGCAUGUGCAGUAUGGUACAGUAUGUGAAGCAUCUCUCACUCUGUCACUGUAUGGCUGUAUACAGUCUGUACAGUUUAUUAUUAUUUAACUUGUUUUGAACAUUUGUCAGUGUUUAAAGUUAUGCUACGUUUUCAUUGUGUAAGUGAGACUUGUCACUUUGAUUAUUACACUGUGUCUGUGUAGAAGAGUACAACGGUAACACAAGCAUUUUAUUGUGUAUAUAUAUGCUGAAAAAACUUUGUUUGUAUACAUGACAAUAAACUGGAAACUAAAAUGCAGUAACAAUUCAGAGAAAAGGCAUCACAUAAGUUCAGUUUUAGCCUCUUCUUAAUUGUAAACCUCCAGGAAUGAUGGAUUAUGUGUGGAUGAAUCUGAAUGAAGGAAACAUUGGAAUUGUGCUAGCUCAGACAUGACGUUGGACCACGGAUCGACCUUUAUACCUUUAUUUAUCCCUUUAUAUAUACCUUUAUACCUUAAGUGUCCACUGCUGGGCCCUUGCACAAGGCCCUUAACCCACACUUGUAUAAAAAUGAGAUAAAAUGUAAUUUGCUCUGAAUAAGGGUGUCUGCCAAAUGCUGUAAAAGAGCACAUAUAGCUGAGUAUAAGCACAACACAGCUGUAGUAAAUGAGGAUGUGAUGUUUGAUGUCCGAUCUGUUCGUUGUGAUGUCCCCACUAACCUCUGUAGUCCCACAGUUUAGCCACUUGUUACUGGUCGCCUUUUUCACAAGACAUAAAAGCUUGAUAUUGAUGUAUUACUUAUGUUGUUGAAUAAAAGGUGAAAAUAUUUUGACCUCA